CAGGUCGGACACAAACCCUGAGCCGCUGCGUCGAGAACUGAGCCUCUGCGUAUGGCGACCUGCUCUACCAGUGUUUACUUAAGGACAUGUGCUGCGGGGCUUCACCCUGCCUCGACACCGCCAUGCCUCCACAACAGGCCUCAUCACCAGCCAAGCAUCUGACCCUGUGUUACACCUGCUGUUUGUGCUGUGACAUUGUUGUCCAGAGAAUUGUGGGAAAAGAUAUUUUACAAGUCACAUGCAUUGCAGGGCCUUCGAAAAAAUAAAUGGAUGGCUUGUUUUUCUGACCUUCGCACAAUGGAGUCCUCCCCCUUUUGCACUUUUGCUUGCAUAAAAGUAAAUCAAGAACA